AUGUGCUGGUGAUGAUGAGAACGCACAAUGCCAGUUCUGCUGCUGAUUUUCCGUGACUGAUAAAGUGUGUUAUAUAUCUGAGGCACUU